rnacentral:tRNA from 1 species
GGUUAUGGCUCAGUGGUAGAGCGCUCGUCUGGCACGUGCAAGGCCCUGGGUUUGAUCCUCAGCACCA